UGUACAUUUCCGCCUGUCAUUGAGCUUUUUCUUCGCUAAAUUAUGCAAUUUAAGUGUUUAUCGCGAGAUGAUAAUAGAUAUGUAGUUAUCAAACUUGAUUAAUUGAUAAGUCAUUGAUGAAAUCAAUGACGAAAAUCAAUAAAAUUUUAUCAGUACCUUGAAUUACGAAAGAGCGAUUUCUACGAAACUGGACUUGAAACUAUUUCAAACGUAGCCAACCGUAAACAUGAAUAUAAUAUUAUUCGUUCGAAUAUCGCUAUAAAUAUACAUGAAUAUGAAUAAUAUUCGCGUGCAUAUAUCAGAUUACCGACAUCCAAAUUGCAGUUGAAGUUUUACAAAACGUCCUGUUAUCAACGUUAUCUGUUGGUUUGAUUUCAAUGAGAUUACGAAGCGUUUAUGUGCAAGAAUUGUUAUUCCUUCUACAUAUCGGGAAAAACACAUUCUUCUGUUUUGCGUCAGUGCUGCGAAAAGAACGACAGAAGGAGGACACAUUUUAAUCGUGAAGUGAAGUGAAGAGCAGUGAAAUAUGUCCGGAAUGGAGAAUCAGGCAUUUGAAGAUAAUGAAUUAGACGUGUUGGAAAAUGGUCAUCGGAAAAGUGAACCUACAGCGAAUCAAGAUGCUAAUUUUCAUCGCAAAUCACAAACACGUUGGAAAAUCAGAAGCAACGCGACCGACGCCUAUCUUUCGAAACACCGGAGAGUUUUCAAGACUUUUGGCUUAAUAAUUUUAAAUCUCUUUAUUGUAGCCUAUACAAUCUGGGCGAGUGUAUAUUGGAAAAGUAAACUUUCAGAAAAUUAUUGCGAUCUUGAAUGGUGCGAUGGCUACGGUUUCCUGCUUAUAUUCGUAGGACUUAUUUAUCUCGGUCUAUUUUAUUUCUUGAUCGUAAAACGAUAUUUUGGGAAGUACUUCGUACAAUGUUUCCUACCAAUAACGAAUUCCCUGGAACGCUUACAAAGUACCAAAUACGGAACGUGCAUUGGAGCAACAAUCUUUUACUUGAUUACACUAACAGCCAUCAUUAUUUUCCUCAUUCUCGAUACCGCAGAAUCCAGAUACAGGUUAAUUAGUAUCCUCGGUAUUAUCGUUAUACUGGGAUUAGGCUGGUUAUUUUCUAAACAUCCGAAACAGAUCAAAUGGAGACCUGUUAUUUGUGGCCUGAUUUUACAAUUUGUACUUGGACUCAUUACACUUCGAUGGCCUGUCGGUCGCAGUAUUUUCCAAUGUAUCUCCAAGAAAGUGGCAACUUUCUUGAAUUACGUUAAAGCCGGCGCAAGCUUCGUAUUCUCGGAAGACAUAGUCAACAAGGGAAUCUUUGCGUUCACCGUACCGCCCGUGAUCUUUUUCUUCAGUUUCGCGGUGAACAUCAUGUCCUAUCUCGGUGCAUUACAAUGGAUAAUCAUGAAACUAGGAUGGAUUUUGCAAAGCAUAAUGAACACAACGUUGUGCGAGUCAAUAAGCGCCACCGCUAAUCCUUUCAUCGGAAUGUCGGAAUCUCCCCUGCUAAUCCGACCGUAUAUCAAUGAAUUGACUUCCUCGGAGUUGCACGCGAUACUGUGCUCAGGAUUUUCCACAAUCUCUGGUUCAACAUUGGCCGCUUACAUAGCAUUCGGUGCAGAACCGGCUCAUUUAAUAACCGCCUCCGUGUUGUCUGCGCCGACUGCUUUAAGCUACUCCAAGCUCUUUUAUCCGGAAACCAAGCAAAGUCUCACGAAAUUCGAAAAUAUCAAGCUUGCAAAAUCAUCGGACAACAGCAUUCUAGACGCCGCUACCAAUGGUGCAUUAGCUGCGCUGCCAAUAGUUUUGGGUAUAAUCGCGAAUAUCGUGGCUUUCGUAUCCUUCAUUGCGUUUUUAAACGGUAUGCUUUCUUGGUUCGGUGGUCAGGUCGGUUACGAAGAACUGAGUCUCGAGAUUUCCAGUUUUGCAGAUUAUUUUGGCGAAAGUCUUUAUGCCACUAAGUUGGAUCAUGGGCGUUCCUUGGGAGCAUUGCGAGGACGUGGCUACGUUGAUAGGUCUGAAGACGGUGGUCAAUGAAUUAAUCGCAUAUCAGAAAAUGGGCGAGUUUAAGAAGCAGGGCAGAAUAUAUGGGAGAUCGGAAGCGAUCGCCACAUACGCAAUCUGCGGUUUCGCGAAUCCAAGCUCGAUCGGCAUCCAGAUUGGCGUCUUUGCUUCUUUAGCACCGGAGAACAAGGAGCGAGUAACGAAUGUUAUUUUACGAGCCUUCAUUGCUGGCAGCGCCGUCUGUUUCCUCACGGCCAGCAUCGCCGGUAUGCUAAUCGACGAUGUUGCAUCACCGUUCUCCGCAAACGUUACAAUUUCAAACGUUACAUCAGCGACAACACUAAAUACUCCGUUAAUUUAAAUUGAGAGGUUGCGUUACAGCAAUCCUAUUACAGAGGCAUUUAAUCAUAAAAUUCAAUUAUUCUGAAUUGAUUAUAUCAUACUUGUUUGAAAAGAAAUGCCAGUCACAAAGAACAUCUCUUGUUAAAUAAUUGUAAAUAGGUAGCGAUGUUGAGAGAGAAAGACACAUUUUAAUUCCAUUAUGGACUUUUUAUCAGUAAUAUAUUUUUAUACAAUAUUGUUGUAGAAACAUCAAAAUAACUUAUAAAUGAUAUACAUACGAGAUCAUCGGUUUUGACCGAAAACAUAGCCUAGCAAAUUCUUUCAUCCAGCAAAAUCACCUUCGCGCUUAGUAAUGCAUACAAAACUAAAAUGACAGAAGAUCAUGUGUGUGAGAGCGAUACAUUUUACUAUCUUAUUUAACCUGUGCAACUAUUUGUACGUUUUGUCAAGUAUAUAUAACCAUGUAAGUAUCGAUCGCGCAUAAUGGAAUACGUAUUUCCCCAAAAGUGAAUGUGCUUAUUUAUUAUAUGUCGAUAGUAAUU